CUCAGGUGCAAGGAUUCAGCAGAAGCCAACAUGCUGUCCUGCAGUGAGCCCUCCUUGCAGCAGGUAAGUUUUCACUUAGAAUAGAAUAGAAUAGAAUAGAAUAGAAUAGAAUUUAUUAUUUAUACCCCGCCCAUCUGGCUGGGUUUCCCCAGCCACUCUGGGCGGCUUCCAACAGUGUAUUAAAAUACAGUGGUCUGUUAAACAUUAAAAGCUUCCCUUAAGAGGGCUGCCUUCAGAUGUCUUCUAAAAGUCUGGUAGUUCUUCUCUUUGACAUGUGGUGGGAGGGUGUUCCACAGGGCUGGUGCCACCACCAAAAAGGCCCUCUGCUUGGUUCCCUGUAACUUGGCUUCUCGCAGUGAGGGAACCGCCAGAAGGCCCUCAGCGCUGGACCUCAGUGUCUGGGCUGGAUGAUAGGGGUGGAGACGCUCCUUCAGGUAUACUGGACCGAGGCCGUUUAGGGCUUAUUGUGCUGCUAUCACAGUUUCUGUAACUAUUUAUAAUAAUCAUUGUUGUCCUUCAUUGGAUACACACCACCACUGUUGUCAUCAAAAAUGUGUGUGAAUUCAAGGGCUGAAAUUAUGCACUCACUGUCUCCCCACAGUGGAUACUUGGCCCACUAUUUCCCCAUACGAGCAAUAAAUUAUAUGGUUGUCCUUCUGACUUUCAAUAAGAAAUAUUUGUCCUGAUAGUGGUACCAAGAUUCCACAGCCAGCACUGAAAUUUUCUCAAAAGGUUUUAAAAUAAGGACAAAACAUAGGCUGAGAUAUGUUUCCUCCACCGAAUUUACACAUUGCAAAGCAAAUGGGAGGGGAGUUUUAAAAAAGAUUUUCCUUGUAUCCUUGCAAAUAUCUUUCUUAUCUUUCUUCUCCUUCUUAACCAAUAACCUUAGUAGCAUUUGUUCAGAAGAAAGCUUACAUGGCGGUAGGAUGCAGCCUUCUGAAAAGACAGCAGAGGUUUGUUUGAUUUUUUCCUCCUCCACAAAAAUAUCACAAAGGUCCCAAGAUACAAGAUAUAUGAACAAAGCUUCCUGUUGCUGAUUUGGAAGGCUUGAAACAUAAUAAUCUCCCAUGCAUGUUAAAUAAUUAAUGAUGCAUCCAGAUCUUACAGCUCCUUCAAUCUAAAGUAAUCUUGCAAAGUACCAGUGAGCCCAAAAAACAGAGAGGGAAUUGCAACCUGAGCAAGAGAACAGAAGUCAAA